UACAGAGGUCCCAAGCGUUGUUCGGAUUUACUGGGCGUAAAGGGUGCGUAGGCGGCGCGGUAAGUCGGGUGUGAAAUCUUGGAGCUUAACUCCGAAACUGCAUUCGAUACUGCCGUGCUCGAGGACUGGAGAGGAGACUGGAAUUUACGGUGUAGCGGUGAAAUGCGUAGAUAUCGUAAGGAAGACCAGUGGCGAAGGCGGGUCUCUGGACAGUUCCUGACGCUGAGGCACGAAGGUCAGGGGGAGCAAACGGGG
rnacentral:rRNA from 1 species